GUACAUCUCCGUCAAGACAGGUGAAGGAAAUGUAUGCACAAGGAAUUGUGAACUUGUUCCCCAACUUCAGAGACCCAUUUUCCAAGAAUGGCUAUGAACAUUUUUAUGGAGAAUUAAAACUAUUCAGAGAUGCAGUGCUAAAGAAAGGCGAUCAUCAUUUGGAGCUUUGGCGGAAGGACCAUCUGAUGAAGACAAGUCGGGAGGACCAACUGUUGGACGAGUUACCCAAUUCCAUCCAGAGAUUGUCUUGUCUUGGAAGUGAUGUUACUGAUGAAACAUUCGGC